CAUUAGCGAGUCUCAGCGCUCCAAAAACACUGCGAACCGUCCCGUGCCGGCGUCGUUGCUUCGGCGGGCCUUGGGUGGGGGAAGGGGAGGACGCUCCCCCCAACCGCCCGACCGCCCGCCGGCGGCGCCAAACCCUCCUGUAUUUAUAGCGGUCUUACCCACUGAGUGGCACUGAAGAAGAAGAAGAAAAAAAACUUUCAACAACGGAUCUCUUGGCUCCGGCAUCGAUGAAGAACGCAGCGAAAUGCGAUAAGUAAUGCGAAUUGCAGAUUUCAGUGAGUCAUCGAAUCUUUGAACGCACAUUGCACCCGGCGGCCAUUCCGCCGGGUCUGCCUGUCCGAGCGUCGUUUCGCCCCUCGGGUCUGCUGAGGACCCGGCGUUGGGGAUCUGCAGCGCCCAGGAGGGCGCCGCAGGCCCCGAAAUACAGUGGCGGGCCCUGCUGGAAACCCCCUGCGCAGUAGACACGCUCUCGCAUCGGGUGCCGGCGCGGCGCGGCCGUGAAAACCCCCCAAACAGAACAGGUCGACCUCGGAUCAGGUAGGGUUACCCGCUGAACUUAAGCAUAUCAAUAAGCGGAGGAAAAGAAACCAACAGGGAUUGCCCCAGUAACGGCGAGUGAAGCGGCAACAGCUCAAAUUUGAAAUCUGGCCCCCCGCGGCGGGGGUCCGAGUUGUAAUUUGCAGAGGAUGCUUUUGGCGAGGCGCCUUCCGAGUGCCCUGGAACGGGACGCCGCAGAGGGUGAGAGCCCCGUACGGUCGGACGCCGAGCCUCUGUAAAGCUCC
rnacentral:rRNA from 1 species